ACAGAGGUGGCAAGCGUUGUUCGGAAUUACUGGGCGUAAAGGGCGCGUAGGCGGCCUCCUAAGUCAGACGUGAAAGCCCCAGGCUUAACCUGGGAACUGCGUCUGAUACUGGGAGGCUUGGAUUCGGGAGAGGGAUGUGGAAUUCCAGGUGUAGCGGUGAAAUGCGUAGAUAUCUGGAGGAACACCGGUGGCGAAGGCGGCAUCCUGGACCGAGAUCGACGCUGAGGCGCGAAAGCUAGGGGAGCAAACGGGAUUAGAUACCCCGGUAGUCCUAGCCCUAAACGAUGAAUGCUUGGUGUGGCGGGUAUCGAUCCCUGCCGUGCCGAAGCUAACGCAUUAAGCAUUCCGCCUGGGGAGUACGGUCGCAAGGCUG
rnacentral:rRNA from 1 species